rnacentral:rRNA from 1 species
CGACCUGAGACGGUGAGACCGACUCGAGUCCCGUCCGUACAUAAACCCCGACCCGACGAAACCCACAAGAGAAGAAAAGGACUGUCAUCUGCCCGUCGACUUGCCAGCAGGAGGAAAUCCAACCCCGCCGCCGCCGCCAUGAGCGCCAUGAAGUUCUGCCGCGAGUGCAACAACAUCCUGUACCCCAAGGAGGAGAAGGAGCGGAAGGUCCUCCUCUUCGCCUGCCGCAACUGCGAGCACCAGGAGGUGGCAGGCGACAACUGCGUCUACCGCAACAUCGUGCAUCACGAGGCCGGGGAGCGCACGCAGGUCCUGCAGGACGUCGCUUCCGACCCCACCCUUCCCCGCACCAAGGACGUCCGCUGCGCCGCCUGCGGCCACGGCGAGGCAGUCUUCUUCCAGGCUACAGCAAGAGGGGAGGAGGGGAUGACUCUGUUCUUCGUGUGCUGCAACCCCUCCUGCGGCAACCGGUGGAGGGAGUGA